rnacentral:lncRNA from 1 species
AUUUACCCUCCGCUGAGCUUUACUUUGCUUCGUACCCCAUUCCAAAACGCUCAUCGAGAUGGGGAGGGGGAGGAGGGAGGGGUGCUCACCCAAAUAGGAUUUACAGCAGCGUGUGGAGUCCUUGGCACUGGGGUUGGGACGGUCUGGGCAGACACACAGACGUGUCAGGGCCACCGGGGAUGAGCCUCUGUGUUCUGGUAGGAGCUCUGAGCCCAUCGUGGGGACAGAGGGGCAGCAACCAGCGUCCGGAUCCACACAACAGGAAACGUUGGGUGAGUGCUCAGGGAAAAUAGUCAGCAACGCUAUCUGAGAGCCAUAUCAAAGAGAUUUGGGCCAGAAGUGGACCCAGCUACUGUGAAGCUAUUAGCAGCAUCUCAGGCUUCCUGUGUACAGCGGGUUAGGGGGCGAGCACUGCCCACAUGUUUGCUUGCUGGAAUAGUCACCAGCACUGCCAUGAACUCACAGCCCUGAACAGACCUUCCGAAAGUAGUUCAGAGUGGAAGCAGCAGGAAGGAGGGAUUUUCUGGCCUGGAAUAUUUUCGCCCUUUAAGGGCUACAGUGCAAGAUCUUCCUUGAGUGGGUCUGUUGCUGGCAUGCUGGGAGCAAGCAUGCACCAACGCAUGCAAGAUGGCAAGAUGGGUGAGCGAGGCUGUGCAGAUAGCCUGACCUCACUCAGGGCAGCAACACCAGGACAACAGCAUUGGGAUCAUCACUGGGAAAGCUCAGAAAGCUCCAGCGGAGUGAUGUAUAAGGAAAAGCUGCAGUGCGGGGCAAAUUGUAUCUCCCAGCACCUGGAGCCUGCAGCCUCACUAUGAGGAGGAGGAGGAGGAGGAGGCAGUGAACCCAUCCCAUGGCAAGGCAAUGGGUGAAGUGGGCAUCUGCCUAAAUCCCAUCUGGCCACACACCUCAGAGCUGGAACAUGCAAGAUUUUGUUGAUGGGACCAAUAAUCAGAGCACAGUGUAAUCAGCCCCCUGGGAUGUCUGAGGCAAGCAGAAACUACUGGCUUCUUUCACAAAGCACAAAGCUGAUGUCUGAGUCGGCACGUUUGAUAACAAACGUGGUUUCUCAGAGCCCCUUUGUUAUCAGGUUGUGCUGAGGAGGAGCACACCAGGACACGAUGAUGCUGACAUCCAGAUGAGCACAGAAAUGAUAACAAAGCCCAGCAGGACAGUUUGUUCACUUCUCCCUCCAGCAAGGGCAUUGCUGGUGGUCUUAUCUCUUGCAAAGCACAAACCAGAGCAGCCAGGAGCCUUGCAUAGUUUUCCUGGGCUCCCUGCUGGAAGCACCCCAUGAAUGAGGUGCCCAACCCCAGGGCAUCAGGCCUGCAAGCAUCCCACCCUGAUGGUUGGGAGAAACUGCAGGAGUGGCAGCAAGGACAUUGGGAAGGGAAGUUGGUGAUACAGCAUUUGGGACUGCAGACUUUCAGAAUGCCCAGACCCAAGCUUGAAGUGUGAGGGACUCACAACUCCAUAUCAUGGGUAACCAGAGACCUGGAAGAACAAACCCAGAGAUGGUGCCAUACCCCAAAAUGAUCCCUUCCAAACCUGAGUGACAGACAUCCUCUCUUAUAGGGCCACCCAACUGGGAUAUCACCAUCCUUCCCAGGGCGUUCAUUCCAUCACAAACAGCUUUCAGGCUCUGGUCAUCAGGCAGAUUGUCCAGCUUUGGCAAUUCCAAGCCAUGUUCACAAGACACGGGCUAAUUUCUGAUAAAUUCUCACCAACUGAAUCCAGCUCUGCUAGAUCCUGUUACAAUGAGAGGGGAGAAGAGAUGGCAGUUGGACCACUUGCUGUUGAGGUCUUGGAUGUUGCAAAAGACUUUAUUCUGUCCUAUCUCCGGCCCAGACUGUUUUGCUGAGAUCUCAUCCCAUCCCUUCUCCUCCCUGCACAGAUAUACUCCAGCCAGGCUCCAUUUCAAAUCUCUCCUGGGUUGCUGGUUUCAAAGCUUUCCAAAGAGUAUCAUCAUCCAGGAGACAGAUGUCUAGGACUACUGGGCUUCCUUGGGGGAAAGCAGCACUGAGGAUGGUUUUGUGGUAGCAUCUUUGCACCAAGCCCUGCUUAAAAUGUAGACAGUGAGCUGGAAGCAGCAAAGAAAUGUUUAUGGAAUUGCUUUCACGGGCACUGUGCAUGUGGUGAUAGGUUUAUAAAUUAGGUCAUACCAUUUCCUGAAAUGUAUGUGCAACGUUCUGGAUAUUUAAUGGCAUAAAGACGUAAUUAGCUGCAGCUUUGGAAAACAGCGUCACCUUGAUUUGAAGGAAACUGUUAAAUAAGAUUGGGUUACCAUGCUGAGCAACCCAUUGCAAAGAUACAAUCUGAGGAGGGAACCUGACCCUGCCAGGAUUUCCUCUGCAGUGUGUUUGCAUUGUAUAUGCAUCUAAUCUGGAGCAAAUAUCUACAUUUCUCUGUACCCCAUUCAGACCUAAAGGAAAAAAAAAGUAAGCUGAGUAGCUUCACUGAAUGCUAAAAUAGAAGAAAUUUGUUGCAGGAAGGAAAUUUUAAGGUUAUGAUCUGCAUGGUCCCAGGUGCAUUUUUAAAGCAUCUGAAAUGUUAGAAGUCUCCUAUGUCCUCCAAGAACCUUGAGAAGAGAGAGAAAAUGCUGCAUAGCAAAGGUCUUUAGGAAGAUGGAAUGUGAAAACAGAUUAAAUAUAAGAUUUGGGAUCCCAAUGACCCCUACGUGUUUUUCAGUCAACAGCAAAAUACCGUGAGAGACUUCAGUCUCCUUCAUGUAACCAGCAAACCCCGAGGUAUCCUGAGACACCAAACCACUCUGGGUCUUCUAAACUACCCAACCACUUGUCCCCUUAUCUUUUGACCAACAAGGCUUAGUUUUCAGAGGAAGUGAAUGAGAUAUUUUAACAGGGUAAGCCAAGGCUGGUGGGAGAUGCAGAAUAGAUGCCCAUAUCCUGAGGUCACAUCCCCGUGCUGAAGGUAUGGCUACACACCAUACAGAAGUGUUUUGAGACCUCCAAAAUCAGCAGAAUUGCUAAGUGACAGGGCACCUAGAGCAGACAACUCACUGCAUUGACUGCUGACAAUGAGCUGACAGUGACACUUCCAGCAAAUAAUAAAUGGCUGAGAAAGAGGAAUUUGAAAUGCAAUGCCACUGAUGAGCCAAUGAGCAUGGGCACCUGGAGGGCACGGUCUCUUCUCCAUUUAGGAAUCACAGCUUUGCUUUUGGGCCCUCUUGACCCAAAAAGAAAACCCCAAUUAUGUACUAAUACAGAAACUGAGCAGUCUACUCUGUAGAGAAAUGUGUUGACAAAAAAUAUUGCUUUCAAAAGAAAUGUUCUUUAUUUUUUCAAGAGAGAAGGAAACCAGAUAAUUUUUCAGGGCCAGGAGAAGAAAACAAAAACAAAAACAAAAACACAAUAACAACAUCAGAAUAUCUUUGUUUUGUAAUGCUUGAAAAUAACUCUCAGGAGUCAAGGAGAAUGGUGAUAAAAAUGAGAAAUGUUGAAAAUGGGAAGAAGGGAAGGAAUGAGAGGGCGGGGUGCAGGCUUGUAGGAGGAGCUGCAAUUACUUGACAGAAAAACAGGGGUCUGCUGAAUCUGUAGGGUGUUUCAUUUACAGUCCUUUGGUCUGGAGAAGCACUGAACUUACACUGAACCCCAUCCCCGAGGUGAAACCUUCCCUCUCCCACCUAUGCAGCUCAGGCUCCCAAGAAGCACUGUUUCAUUCCCCCUCUCUCCCCUCCAUCCAUCUCAAUAUCCAUGUUCCCAAGUUGCCUGAUGUGCCGUUUAUGACAGAAAUAACCUGCCUUGGCACUGACACUUGAAUUUCACUUAAGGUUCGUCGCGUUAUUAAUGACAAGAUCAAUAUUGCCAAAGCCGCAGUAAGAGCUCUCGCCAUCCAUCUGCCUCCCACCCUCCCCUCCGAGGCGCUCCAUGUUUUAAUGCUCCAUCUUCUUUCAAGGGUAUGGGCUCAGCAUGGGAAGGAGAAUCUCCCGCUGCCGGGGACGCGGUGCUCAGUCCUUGGCAGCUGCCCCAAUGUAUUUCUCCCGAGCCUUGAAUGCUGAGUGAUGAGGUUUGGGAGAGGGAUAACCCACAGGCUCUGUCUAAUCAGAGAGACUGUGGUGGCCUUGCUGAACCCUCCCGGCACAAUUAGGUAAUCACGUUGGCAGACAAGCCUGAUUCAUGUCGCUUUACCAUCAGCAAAGGGAUAUCUAUCACCCCUGCGACAGACCCGUUAUUGCCGCAAACCACUUCAGCCCAACCGGUUAAAAACCCCUUGUAAAAGCAAAAUAAAAAAAGGGGCUUGGACAUAUUUUAUGGCAAAUUAACUUCUAACGUAUUCUUUCCUGCCUCGUAUUAAGAUCCCACUCUCAGCUGACACCUGCAGCAAGGCCUGUGUUCCUCAUGGCAUGUAAGGGCUCAAGAUCUCUGCAGACACUGUGGGACAUUCAGGACAAUGCUGAUUUGCUCUCACUUCUCUCCAUUGGCUCCAGAGGAACCCAAGCUUUCCAGGAAUGCCAAGGCAAAGGCACCCAAACUCAACCUGAAGCACCCAGCCUGCUGAUACCAAGCUUCUUUAGCUCUGUUCCCACUGGACCACCUAUGGAUGUCGAUGAAGACAACAAGGAGACUUAAUGGAUUCAAACAAGCUUUGGAUGAAUCCUUCAAAGCACCCUGGAAAUUCAGCUGUUUCCCCAGUUCUACUCUGCACAGAUCCACAGGUGGACCAGGAAUGGAUGGAGGAAUUAUAUUAGCCCCAAUGUGCAGUGCAGCACCCCUGCUCCUCAUCCAACAGAUCCUGAAGGGCCGUCCCCAAAUCUGUGGUUUUAUUGCUCUACUGGAAUUGUGCUCUGGACCUGAAGACUUCCAGGCAAAGCACAGAGCUUUUCCAUAGGCUCCAGAGGGCUCCUCAGGGCUGAGCCAUUCCCAGAACCGCCCGUCCCUGACCUCAGACAAGGCUCCAAUUAGGACUUUCAGUUAUUUUUCUUUGAAACAAACACAGGGCAAUGGGGAAAAGCAUCCUUAUCAUCUGGGGAUAUUCACAUUUUUACUACAUUUUCUUUCAGUUCUGAUUUUUUUUUUCCCCAGAACCAGUUAAUCCAUUUCUUUUGGACUUGUACCUUCAAGGCAAGAGCUGCAGCUCAACGUGCGGCCAAGCCAUUCCAGAAAAAUGCCUUCACUACAGAACAUGAACUUCCCAUUAUAGAGGCUGCAUAUGUGCUCUGAUUGAUCCCUAAACUGGCAUUUCAAUUUAUUUCCCACUGGAGGACUCAUUCAUUACAGAGAAAUAAGACUAUUAAAUGCAUGAUAAAGCACAUGCAUCAACAGACGAGAAUGGUGGUUACUUUACUGUACCUAUCUAAACAAUAGCUGAUAAAUAAAGCCAUUCAUGAUCACAUAGGACCUUUUAAAAUGAAUAAGGAAACAGUAAUAUGCUCAUUAUUAAAGCAGCUGAUUAAAAAAAAUAGCUUGCCAGCAUUAACACCACACACACUUUGCUGCUGCAUCCCUGGCUGUGGGACGGAGGCAGCUCGAAGGCACAGAUUGCGAGCAACCUGCCUGCAACCUGCCCAAGUCCCAGCAGCCUGCAGAUGUGUGCAGCUGUGCUGAUGUGGCAGCAGGCUCUUACCUCCAGCAGCAGGGAAAGAUGCCCAAAGGAGCCCAUGCAAGCUGCUUUUUUCAAGCUUCCAUCGCUUUUUCUUUAACUACUGCAUUGACUUUCUACCCAACAGCCUCUGGAGAGAAGCAGAAUAGUGGGGCAGGUGUAGAAUUCUUUAUACAUAUCAUAGAACCACAGAAUGGCUUAGGUUGGAAGGGACCUUAAAGAUCAUCGAGCUCCAACCCCAUGCAUAUGUACGUAUGCAUAUGGUUGGUUUCUUUCUUUUUUUUUUUUACCUGUCAAAAGAGGAAAGAUAGAGAUGGCAAAGAAAGACAAGACAUGGAGAAAGGAAAAUGAAGAGGAAAGGAGAAGUGGAUCUUUAUGAAAAUGAGGAGAUAGGUGUCCAUAAAGGCUCUGAAGCGGGACAUAAGAGCAGUGGCUUUGAAGUUUCUUUGCAAAUCAAACCAGGCUGGUCCUUUCUCUGCCCAUUUUUGAGGACACUGAACAGUCCCACCACUGCUACAACAACCCCAUAAAAAUUUACUGUCAGCUUUUUUUCUCUGUCCUUUUCCCCCACUUCGACCACAUCCUUAGACCUCCAAGAAGCCAAUGCCAGGCUAAGUAGUUGUGACAUAACUCAGCAGGUUUUCCUGAGCUCUAAUUGAAUUAUAAGCCAUCACUUUAUGGCCGCAUGUAAAAAUCCCACAUGUUCCUUGCACAGCAUAGUCAGUUCUUGGACCCAGUGGUGUGGCACUGGGCUGUG